CCUUGGACAGAGAGUGUGGUCUGACUACGAAAAAUGUGUGGAGUGAUACCAAGAGUCCUUAAUCUCUGCAGGGGGACUUUGAACUGCACUUAGGGAAAUUUUGAAUGUGAAGCGAGACUAAUGAAUUGUGCAGUCUUUUAAUAUUUGACAUGAUGUCAUUUAUCUAAAUAUCUAGUCACCAUAUAUUAAAUUUCUGUUAAAUAUCUAAAACGAAGGUUUAAAUGUUUUUGUUUUUCUAUUAGACAAAACGUUGUUGUUUCUUUAGGAAAUAAUGGCUUUUUGGCGCCCCAACUUUUCAAUUUUAAAAACAAAUACUUAUUGUAGAAGAUUUAGAAAAAUACAAAAAUAUAUAAGAAAAUCCUCCAACCGGACAGAACCCUUGUUAAACUAUUCAUGUAUUUCUUCUCAUUCGUUUCUACAUAUACUCAUACAGUUGGUGUAGUAUUAUUAUUAAAUACAAUUCCACACCUACUUUUUUCACCUCACAUAAUCCUGUGAACAUUUUUCCAUGUGAUAAAACUUCUUCAUAAACAUUUUUAAGGCUGAAUAAUAGUCCAUCAUAUAGAGAAAUCAUAAUUUACUUAUCAUUCUCUCUUGUUAUGUAGUUUUUUCUCCCAGAUUUUUCACUAUUCUAGAUAAUAUUGAACAUAAAUCUCUGUUCACAUCUCUGAUUAUUUCUGAGAUAGAUUCCCAGAAGAAAAAUUACUUGUUUAAGGAUUAGAAGGUUCUUGAGGUAGGUUGUCACUUGCUCCUGGAGAGCCGUGCCACCUUCUGUAUGGUGCAGCAAUGCACGGUGCACUUCUCCAGCCGGGACUCACUGGUGUAGCACUUUGGUCUGUUUUUUCACAUUUCCCAUUUGGAUCACAUCCUCCUUCCCUGAAGCCCUCCAAUAUGUUCUGGUUCCAACCCAGUGAAUCCCAAGUACUCCACCCCACACAGUACAAGGUCACAAAAGCCCUGGAAAAAGGAACAACUUAGCCCCGUCCCGUCUCCUUUGCCAGCUUUCUUAGGGGAACUGACCAAGCUUAUUUGAUGAUGACAAACACAAAGAACUGUUCUCCCACAACAACA